GAUGAACGCUAGCGGGAGGCCUAAUACAUGCAAGUCGAACGGUAAGAUUCCUUCGGGAAUACACGAGUGGCGAACGGGUGCGUAACGCGUACACAACCUACCUUUAAGUGAGGGAUAGCCCUGGGAAACUGGGAUUAAUACCUCAUAGUAUUAUAAAACUACAUGGUUUAAUAAUUAAAGUUCCGGCGCUUAAAGAUGGGUGUGCGUUUGAUUAGAUAGUUGGUGAGGUAAAGGCUCACCAAGUCGACGAUCAAUAGCGGGUCUGAGAGGAUGAUCCGCCACACUGGGACUGAGACACGGCCCAGACUCCUACGGGAGGCAGCAGUAGGGAAUAUUGGACAAUGGGCGAAAGCCUGAUCCAGCCAUCCCGCGUGCAGGAUUAAGGCCCUAUGGGUUGUAAACUGCUUUUCUUAGGGAAGAAAAAGCUUGAUUUAUCAGGUGUUGACGGUACCUAAGGAAUAAGCACCGGCUAACUCCG
rnacentral:rRNA from 1 species